rnacentral:rRNA from 1 species
AAUGAACGCUGGCGGCGUGGAUUAGGCAUGCAAGUCGAACGCGAAAGUUCCCUUCGGGGAGCGAGUAGAGUGGCGAAAGGGUGAGUAAUGCUUGGAUGACCUGCCCUCGAGACGGGGACAACAGUUCGAAAGGACUGCUAAUACCCGAUAGUCCGGUUUAGAUGCGUCUAGAUCGGUAAAUGGUGCUUCCGCUCGAGGAGGGGUUCAAGUCCUAUCAGCUUGUUGGUGAGGUAACGGCUCACCAAGGCGACGAUCUGUAGCGGGUCUGAGAGGAUGAUCCGCCACACUGGAACUGAGACACGGUCCAGACUCCUACGGGAGGCAGCAGUGGGGAAUUUUGGACAAUGGGCGCAAGCCUGAUCCAGCCAUGCCGCGUGAGUGAAGAAGGCCUCGGUU